ACAAAGGAGUUAUUAAACUCCACCAACACAAGCUGAGCAACAGGG
rfam:Camelus ferus unplaced genomic scaffold scaffold2098, whole genome shotgun sequence.